rnacentral:rRNA from 1 species
CAGCAGCCGCGGUAAUACGUAGGGUGCGAGCGUUAAUCGGAAUUACUGGGCGUAAAGCGUGCGCAGGCGGUUGUUUAAGUCUGCUGUGAAAGCCCUGGGCUCAACCUGGGAAUUGCAGUGGAUACUGGGCAACUAGAGUAAGGUAGAGGAUAGUGGAAUUUCCGGUGUAGCAGUGAAAUGCGUAGAGAUCGGAAGGAACAUCUGUGGCGAAGGCGACUAUCUGGGCCAUUACUGACACUGAGGCACGAAAGCGUGGGGAGCAAACAGGAUUAGAUACCCCUGUAGUCCCUGUCUCUUAUAC